rnacentral:rRNA from 1 species
UACGUAGGUGGCAAGCGUUGUCCGGAAUUAUUGGGCGUAAAGCGCGCGCAGGCGGUCCUUUAAGUCUGAUGUGAAAGCCCACGGCUCAACCGUGGAGGGUCAUUGGAAACUGGGGGACUUGAGUGCAGGAGAGAAGAGUGGAAUUCCACGUGUAGCGGUGAAAUGCGUAGAUAUUGGGAGGAACACCAGUGGCGAAGGCGGCUCGCUGGACCGGAACUGACGCUGAGGCGCGAAAGCGUGGGGAGCAAACAGG